CCCUUAGAUGUUCUGGGCCGCACGCGCGCUACACUGACGAAUGCAACGAGCUUAUAACCUUGGCCGAAAGGUCUGGGUAAUCUCCAAAUUUCGUCGUGAUGGGGAUAGAUUAUUGCAAUUAUUAAUCUUCAACGAGGAAUGCCUAGUAAGCGCAAGUCAUCAGCUUGCGUUGAUUACGUCCCUGCCCUUUGUACACACCGCCCGUCGCUCCUACCGAUUGAAUGGUCCGGUGAAGCGUUCGGACCGUGGCCUUUGGACGGUUCGCCGUCUGUUGGCUGCGGGAAGUUCGUUAAACCUUAUCAUUUAGAGGAAGGAGAAGUCGUAAC
rnacentral:rRNA from 1 species